rnacentral:rRNA from 1 species
GCUUAAGUGGCAAGAGAUGAGCCUGCGUCUGAUUAGGUUAGUUGGUAGAGGUAAUGGCUCAACCAAGACGAUGAUCAGUAGGGGAUCUAAGAGGAUAAACCUCCACACUGGAACUGAGACAAGGACCAGACUUCUACGGAAGGCAGCAGUGAGGAAUAUUGGUCAAUGGAGGAAACUCUGAACCAGCUAUGCCGCGUGUACGGAAGACAGUCUUUUAGAUUGUAAACUACUUUUGCAUAGAAAUAAAAGUUACUACGUGAUAGUAGCCUGAAGGUACUAUGCGAAUAAGUGUCGGCUAAUUUCGUGCCAGCAGCCGCGGUAAUACGAAAGACACAAGCGUUAUCCGGAUUUAUUGGGUUUAAAGGGUGUGUAGGCUGUUUAUUAAGUCAGUAGUGAAAGCUUACAGCUUAACUGUAAAAUUGCUAUUGAUACUGAUAGUCUUGAGUAAGAUUGGAGUGUUUGGAAUGUAUGGUGUAGCGGUGAAAUGCAUAGAUAUCAUACAGAACACCAAUAGCGAAGGCAGGAUGCUAAAUCUUCACUGACGCUGAGGCACUAAAGCGUGGGGAGCAAACAGGAUUAGAUACCCUGGUAGUCCACUGCCCUAAACUAUGAUCACUAGCUAUUGGAAAAAAACUAUAUUCAGUGGCCAAGCCAAAGCGAUAAGUGAUCCACCUGGGAAGUACGAUCGCAAGAUUGAAACUCAAAGGAAUUGACGGGGUUCCGCACAAGCGGUGGAGCAUGUGGUUUAAUUCGAUGAUACGCGAGGAACCUUACCAAGGCUUAAAUGUAUUCCGAAUAAGCUGGAA